GAGAGUUCCCCUGAGAGCUGGCAGAGUCAGGAGAACCCUAACUGUAAGUAGAACGCGAUCCCCAUUUCUGCUCGGCUGUGGUUUGAGGCCUCCAACCACGCUGCCUGCGUGUACAUUCAGGAACAGAGCUCCUGCAUGCUCAGAGAGGCGGAGAGUCAAGCCAAGUUUGUAAGACACAAAAUGAGACACGCAAGAAGGAAGUAAUGCCCCUGGGAGAAGGGGGAUCAACAACCCAUGGGCAGCUCAAAACCAUGUUUUCACCAGAGUCUGGAUUGGAAAGAUAAGGACAGUGUAAAAUUAUACCUUCCCUUCUCAGCCAGACAAUACAGAGGUUUGGAGAGCUGACCCAGGUUCAUAUUCCACCAUUUCCCAUGCAUCUCUGAACUUCAGGAAGCCAGGUUUAAGACAGCAUGGAUGGACUCCUCUGUCCUCCUGUUCUUUGUUGUGUUCGGUCAGUUGGAUGCUCUGCAAGAUCUGCACUGGAGCAAAGAGAGUUCAGUGUAUCUUCUACCACAGUUCUCUCUGUGACAAGCUGCCUGCCAUGAGAUAGCCCUCCUGUUCUUCACCCAAGACCACCUGCCAUCCUCUGACUCAGUCUGUGGGUCCCUUCACUUCAGCAUCAGUUACUUUGGAUAAAUGCCCUCCUCUACAGAGAGUGACCCUGGUAGACUGCCAACCACCAGACCCACAAGAGGCAAAAAUGCGAAGAACAGUAACUGGCACAGAGCAAAGGGAUAUGUUAAGUAUUUGUUAGAUUAAUUCUAGAAAAUGAAUGUGUGGAAUUAUUCUGAGGGUUCCACAGACUCAGCACAAACUAACUUCUCACCCUUCCCUGGUUUUCCCUGGUAAGGAGGUAUGUGGUGGAGAAGUGGGACACUGAUGUAUGAGACCAAGAGAUUGGAGUACACACUGAUAAACAGAGAAAUUGUGAGCGCUGAUCUACCUGAAAUUCUACAGCUAAAGGAGACAUGUGUGCUAAGUUGCUUCAGUGGUGCCUGACUCUUUGCAACUCUAUGGACUGUAGCCCACCAGGCUCCUCUGUCCGUGGGGAUUCUCUUGGUUGCCUUUCCUACUGCAGGGGAUCUUCGCGACCAGGGAUCGAACCCAAUCUCCUAUGUCUCCUGCACCGACAGGAGAGUUCUUUACCACUAGCAUCGCUUGGGAAGCCCCAACUAAAGGAGGAUGCUCCUUCAAAUUGAUCUGAGGGAAACUAUAUUUGUCUGCCUAAAGUCUUACUCCAGUAUCAACCAGAUUCUUACUGGGAAGUACCAGCCAGAUAGUGGAAGUCAAAGUACCUCCAUGUCUCUUUUCUAUAUUAGGUAAGUUCUCUUGGCAGCAGUUUUCAGCAGUAUGGCAGCAGUAUGUCUUCAAUUUCCACAAU